ACAGCGGCUACACCCCGACGCCGGUGACCCCGUCUCCCAAGCCCGAGAAGCCACCCAAGGGCCACAAGCCGCCCCACCACCACCACCACGCCAAGCCUCCGGCUGGCUCCCACAAGCCGGCGCCUCCCACGGCCACUCCUCCCACGCCGGCGUACAAGCCACCCACGGCCACGCCUCCGGCUCCGACGCCACCGAAGUACACUCCGUCCCCGAAGCCACCGACGCCUAAGCCCACACCACCCACGUAUACCCCGACCCCGAAGCCGCCCACUCCCACACCAAAGCCCACGCCGCCAACGUACAAGCCGGCACCCAAGCCCACUCCUCCCACGUAUAAGCCCACACCCAAGCCCUCGCCGCCGACGUACCCGCCGAAGCCAACACCACCCACCUACAAGCCGGCGCCGAAGCCGACUCCCCCGACCUACAAGCCGGCGCCGAAGCCGACACCGCCCACCUACAAGCCCGCGCCGAAGCCGACGCCCCCGACCUACAAGCCGGACCCCAAGCCGACUCCCCCGACGUACAAGCCCGCGCCGAAGCCGGCCCCCAAGCCUACGCCCCCGAACUACAAGCCGGCGCCGAAGCCGACGCCGCCGUCGUACAAGCCGGCCCCGAAGCCCACUCCCCCGGCACCGAAGCCCACGCCGCCGACACCACCAGCCUACAAGCCGGCGCCGAAGCCGAGCCCUCCGACGCCCGCCCCGCCGGCGUACAAGCCUCCGACUCCGACUCCUCCGGCGUACAAGACCCCCACUCCGAGCCCGCCGCCGCCGCCCUACCACCACUAAGAUCCAUCACUCUCUUUAGUUGGGAGCACAGGUGAGCAAUGCGGCAAUCUCAGUCUAUGCAUGCAUGAUGCAUGCAUGAAACGCAGACUGUAUCUACAUUUCCCUUUCAAAGUGCAAAGGACGAAACUUAAGACGUGAUUACUUGUGUUUUGCAGAAUGUGAUCGAAAAGACGUGAGCCGACUGUCUGAAGAUGACGAGCCUUUGAUUCUCCUCCCGUGCGUCGCC
rnacentral:lncRNA from 1 species